UACGUAGGGUACAAGCGUUGUCCGGAAUCAUUGGGCGUAAAGCGCGCGUAGGUGGCCAUUUAAGUCCGCUGUGAAAGUCAAAGGCUCAACCUUUGAAAGCCGGUGGAUACUGGAUGGCUAGAGUACGGAAGAGGCGAGUGGAAUUCCUGGUGUAGCGGUGGAAUGCGCAGAUAUCAGGAAGAACACCCGUGGCGAAGGCGGCUCUCUGGGACGGUACUGACGCUGAGACGCGAAAGCGUGGGGAGCGAACAGG
rnacentral:rRNA from 1 species